AACGAACGCUGGCGGCAUGCCUAACACAUGCAAGUCGAACGAUCCCUUCGGGGUUAGUGGCGCACGGGUGCGUAACGCGUGGGAACCUGCCCUUAGGUUCGGAAUAACUCAGAGAAAUUUGAGCUAAUACCGGAUAAUGUCUUCGGACCAAAGAUUUAUCGCCUUUGGAUGGGCCCGCGUUGGAUUAGCUAGUUGGUGGGGUAAAGGCCUACCAAGGCGACGAUCCAUAGCUGGUCUGAGAGGAUGAUCAGCCACACUGGGGCUGAGACACGGCCCAGACUCCUACGGGAGGCAGCAGUGGGGAAUAUUGGACAAUGGGCGAAAGCCUGAUCCAGCAAUGCCGCGUGAGUGAUGAAGGCCUUAGGGUUGUAAAGCUCUUUUACCCGGGAUGAUAAUGACAGUACCGGGAGAAUAAGCCCCGGCUAACUCCGUG
rnacentral:rRNA from 1 species